AGAGGUUUUUGGGUAAUCCCUGAGUGGAAAAACACUGAGGAAGCAGCAUGUCUCACAAGCGCUGGGAAGAAGUGAGAUAAGGGAGAGGCUGCAUUCCUGGCAUAGUACCAGAUGUGCUGUGUUAGGAGCAGAUCCUUCGAAGAACUGA